rnacentral:tRNA from 1 species
CAAAAUGUAGCUUAACCAAAGCCUCUCGCUUACACCGAGAACAUACCCGUUUAACCCGGGUGCAUUUGUG